rnacentral:lncRNA from 1 species
CGAUGAAAGAGAACAUCUUAUGGAAGCCUUAUUUGCAUAUCAAAGAUGGUUUUCUAAGUGGGAGUUGUGCAAGUGAUCCUUAGACCUGAGACCAUCAUGGAAUCUUGUGCACAUGAAUUCAUAUUUUGGUUGAUACCCAGGCAUGGCAUUAAGACAUGUACGGGAUAUUCUGGAUAUGAUGGAGUGUGUAGGGAGGUUGUGAGUAGGUCAAUAUGGAAUCAAUCACUCUUAAUAAGAGG